rnacentral:lncRNA from 1 species
UUUGAUGACCACAGUUCUCUCAGGCACAGAGACGAUUUCUAUAUGCAGAGAGAUGGAAAUGACAGGUUGAGAGAGCGCGAGGGUAUGGAUAAAUUGAAAUUAACUCAGGAGGAUGGCUUAUCAGCACGAGGAAGAGAGAGGCAGGUACCUACUACAAGGGGUCAUAGAGGCUCAGAAGACCGAUCAUCAUCGAUGAUGAAGGAUGAUUAUAAAACUUCUGAGAAAGAGCAUCUCACAAAAGAUUCAACAAGGCAUAGUAAACAGACGAAGAGAAGGGAAUAUCAUGGUGAAGAAAGUUCUCAUCAUAGAGGACACAGAGACUUCUCUGCACGCACAGAUGAGACUGCUAACAAUGAGAAAAUGCCAAGGCAGGAGAGAACAAGUGCUAAAAGUGACAAUGUUAUUAAUUCUUUGGACGGCCAGCAGUUGCAAGACAGAAAACAUAAAGAUUCCAGACGAAAGAUUAAAGAACAACGAGAGGGUGCCGAUUCAGUGAGGAGCAAGCAAGGAGAAGAAAAUGGCAGUUCAGAAGUAACGGUAUGCUCUAUCAGCCUAUCAACUUAUUACUCUCAUCCAAGUUUUGUAAACUUAACGUAACAUGGUUAUCGUGAAUGCAUUAGACUUUACAAAGUAUUUUGUUCCUGUGAUUAACCUCACCUAAUAAUAUAUCUCAUGGGUUUGGUCACUUUUAAUAUGCCUCAACGGGUCAGUAUUGAUGCUUCUUUCAUGCCUUCCAGGGCUCAAAAGGUAAAAACGAAGCAAGAAAUCACAGGAGUGAGAUCCCACAGCAGACUAACGCCACCAAAAGACACAAGGAGGAUGCUUCAUCUGGUGAUGAGCUGCAAGAUUCAAAGAGAGGACGUACGAAAAUGGAGCGUUGGGCAAGCCACAAAGAGAGAGAUGAUGUUGUCACUGUCACGGCAUCGUCCACUUCUUCAAAACUUCAAGAGAAGGAAAAAGGCACUAACGGCCGAGUUCUCGAACCUGUCCAUGACAAGAAUCGGGAUUUAACUGAAGAGAAAAGUAGCCAUGACCUUGCAGAGACCAAAGAUAGAAGCGAGAAGGGACCUCCAGGAGAUCGGCACUUGGACACGGUUGAGAAACUCAAGAAACGUAGUGAACGGUUCAAACUUCCAAUGCCCACGGAGAAAGAUACCACAGUCGUAAAGAAAAUGGAGUCUGAGACGCUGCCCUCUGCAAAAAUUGAAGGCCCUGUGGAUUCAGAGGUGAAAGCAGAGCGGCCAGCAAGGAAAAGACGGUGGACAAGUAGCUGAGAGCCUGGCUCUCUUUGGCUGGAUCGAGGGGUAGCUUCUUAUACUUAAACGGAUGGCAUGAGAUUCUCGCAUCCCACGGAGCAGUUGUUGCCGUGGAGGAUCAAGUUCCAUGAAGAUUAAUUAGAAGAGCUUAGGAAGAGUGUGUGGGAGUGAGCUAUGUUGUGUAAGAAUAAUACGCAUAAGGAUUUUACUUUGAGAGAAUACUCUUUUGUAGUAGUUGAUGUAAACUUUUGUCAAAGAUUAUUUGGUCUUUUAGUUUUGUUCACAUACUAAGCGCCUCAAGAGAGAGCGAGGAUAUUUAUAAAGUACUCGAGGCAUUGUAUUUUACUGUAGUAAUUUUGUUACUGUUUUUUGUAAACAACCUUUUGAACACUUGACAUUUGUAUUUUCCUUUUUCCAGGUUUAUUAUGAGGAGACAGCAACAACUAUGAAAGUAGAGACUGCUUGAUGGAGAAAGGCUCGUAAAUAGAAUACGAGCUUAUUAUCACGUUUCAAAAUCUCUUACGAAAUCAAAACUUUCCUAUUACAAACAAACAAAGUUUCUUUAGAGCUUUGAUCUAUAGUAAUAAAUCACUGUUUUGCGGCAUAUAUUGUUUAAAAUGAAUAAAACGUAAAUAGCUCAAGUUUCGAAAAUGCUGAGGGCGGGCAUGUUACAACGUAUGAAGUUAUAUGGUGUGAUUAAAUUUUUAUUCAGUGGCAAAGAGGAAUCCCAUAGCCAGUAUUGCCAGCAAGGAAAGGCACAGAUUAGCAGUGGUGGCAAUAGAGCCAGAAUGACCAGGGGCAUUUGGCGUAGCUCCAGUUGCAUUGUUGGCGGCCAUGUUUGCAACAGGAGGCAGAGGAGGAUCAAUCACGUCUUUGGCGUCAAGAGGUGGGCUUGGGGCACUAGCUGGUGGCUGUGCUUCCUUGUUUGCCACGGAGAUUAGAGAGCCAGCCUCUGCAGGUAAGAUGGCAUAGGGCUGCUCUUUGUCUAAAUCUGAGCAUGGACUCCCUGCAUUUGCAUCAAAUGUUAAGCAUCAGCUUUUGUGUUGUUAAAUGAUCAACAUUAUCUUUGUUAUGUGUAUAUAUUGGUUCUUUCAUGAAUCUUGUAGAGGUUUAGAAUUUACUUAAGUAUCUGGUGGCGGUGGCAGGGAACUCCGUGAUGACUCCAUCAACACCAUUCCCUGCAAUGAAUGUGGCAAACUCUACAGUAGGAUCAGAGAAGUAGUCGAACGCUAUGGAGAUAUACUCGUUCCUUAGCACCGAGACAUAAACAGAGAUAUUCCCCUUGUGCAUUUCCUCCACUACGUUGGUCUUCCCUGCGGCAAAGCUUCCGGAGAUGGUGACGAGAGAACUUCUCAAGAUAUUGACAGCAUCUGCAUGCUUCUUGAUUUCGUCAACGGAUGCCUUGGGAGCAUCUCCUAUUUCCUUGUCGAUGCUCAAGACUCUAGUGUAGGGAGGGACAGCCUCAAAACCGGCCAGAACUGAACUGUCAUCUGACUGAAUCAAUACCCUUUGGGUUGUUUGCUUGUCGAGUGUGGAUUUGGUCAGAGCGGACUUGACUGCGUCUACGAUUCCUAAGCCUUUCUUUGAGGCUAAAUAAGCAGCAUUCUGUCAAAACAAAAAAAACAAGGCGUUAGUGGUGAUGCUUUGAGUAAGUUAAAGGAGCAUUAAUGAAAAAAGGGGCAUAUGCCUGGAUGUUGACAAGAACUCCAGUGACUGCCUUUUCUUUGCUGAACUUAAGGAAGUCAUCAAGAGUUACGAACUUCCCGGCAUUCUUGUUUGCUGGGUUUCUCGAGAUUCCCACCUUAGCUAUGAAAGGGCUCUGGAUUUGAGCUGUAGGCAGAGACAUCCCACUGUCAUGAUCCAGAUCUUCCCCCAGAGCUAGCUGCAGCAACAGGGGCGCAGGGUGUUCCUGUUGAUUCUUCAAAUUUAGUGAAGGUAGAAACUGCUCAAGUUGAUUCAGCUAAAGUACCAGCUCAUGUUCGACCUGCACUGGUAUGUUUCCUACCGCCUUUGUUCUCAUUUAAAGUAGCAUCGUCUAUAUGUGGUUUUCUAUAUUGUAUAUCAAAGCUGGAACGUCGUGGCUAUACAUUUUUCUUGUUACUAUCUAAAGCUUGAGAGUAUUGGAUGAUUUUUUUACUUUUGGUUAUUUCAGCCCCCUGGAAGACCGAUACCUGUGGAGACUGGUUCUGGUGAGCGUCAGCCAUCCGUUGAUACACGUGCUCCUCGAAUGCGUGAUCUAGAUGCUAUCAUUGAGGUUGAACAUGUCUCAAAUCUCUCUUUAUUUUGGUUUUUACUGGUGAGGCAUAGUUGCAUGCUAUAAUGUCUGCUACUAAUUGAAAUCGAUUUUGUUGCCAGAUUGUAUGUCAGGAUUCACACGAGGAUGCGCCUUCGGGUGAAAAUGACACAGAACCAGCUGUUAGUAGCCUUCCUAUAGAAAAUGUUCCAGUUGAGACUGGGUACGUUAACAGCAGAAGACCAGACGGGGAAUCUGCUGAACGAAGUCCUACCCAGGAUGAACCACGUAAAAGGCUUCUCAGAAAGCAAGACGAUGAGAUCUCUAGAAGCACUGGUAGUGGCCAGAGUUUUCGUUCGUCGUCUCCUGUUGGGGACAGAGGCACAAUGUCAUCAAGUGUUGAUCGUGAAGAUAUGGGAGGCGUAGCCGGCAAAGAUGCUGAGAUGGAAGAGGAGCGUAAAACGAGUUCUGCAGUUCAAGAAGAUGAUGGAGGGGAAUCAAAGACGGAGAGAAGUAGUGGAAACAGCAAAGCAAGAUCUGAAAGUCACAGAGAUCAUCAGCAAUUGAAGGAUAGUGCAGAACAGGAAGUUAUUCAAAAUAAGCAUUCUACUCGACCAGCUAGCAGUAAGAAACAUCACGAUAACAGUGCACCGUAUCAGAGCAGAAAGAAUCAAGACAGAGGGAAAGAAAUGGAAAGAACUCGAGCGGCGAGCAAAGGUGGUAGGGAGUACUCAAAUCCUCAUACGGACGUUGAUUACUCAAUUGCAAGGGGCGACGAUUAUGAUAGAAGGAAAGAGCGAGAUGUUGAUGGGGGGUUCUGGCGCAGGAAAGAGGAUGACCCAUUCAGUAGAAGAGGUGGGGAUGAAGGGUUUAGAAAAAGGGAUCGUGAAGAGGAUCUGGGCUCUAAGCAGAGGGGUAAAAUGAGAGAGAGUGACAUACGCAACAAAGAUGAUCAUCAUGUUCCAUCGAGAAAGCAUUUGGACGAUGGUGGUUUAAGAAAUAGUUAUGAACUGGAUGAUCACAUCGGGAAGAGGAGGAAGGAUGAAGAAUACUUAAGAAGAAACCGCUCUGAAAAGAACGAAAUCUCAUAUGGUCAAAGAGAAUCAUCAACCAGCCGCCUGAAACGAGAACGGGGUGAUAGGUUGGACCAUCAAAAGAGAGAUGUCCAACAUAAAAGCAGAGAUGAUUUUGAUGACCACAGUUCUCUCAGGCACAGAGACGAUUUCUAUAUGCAGAGAGAUGGAAAUGACAGGUUGAGAGAGCGCGAGGGUAUGGAUAAAUUGAAAUUAACUCAGGAGGAUGGCUUAUCAGCACGAGGAAGAGAGAGGCAGGUACCUACUACAAGGGGUCAUAGAGGCUCAGAAGACCGAUCAUCAUCGAUGAUGAAGGAUGAUUAUAAAACUUCUGAGAAAGAGCAUCUCACAAAAGAUUCAACAAGGCAUAGUAAACAGACGAAGAGAAGGGAAUAUCAUGGUGAAGA